UUUUUUUUUUUUUUUUUUUUUUUUUUUUGUACAAGGGAUCAAUGCAAAUGCUGCUUUUAUUGCAAGAAGGCUAUCUUUUGUCCAUCUCUAAAAUUGACCAUACGAAUGAUUCUCGGAUCCAUCUUUUGGGCCCUCUGUUAGCAGAUGUAAGGCGCCGUGUUGGAUUAGACGUUUUUCCUGAAGAUGAAUGUUAUGGCAUAAAUCCCGGCUGAGUUUUCGUUUGGAUUGAUUAUUUUUUCAAAAAUAAAAUUUUUAAAUAUAAUGUUAUAAUAAUAUAUAAAUAAAAAAUAACUCAACAAACGUUUCAUUCAUAUAAUAUAUCAAAUAUUUUUAAAAAUAUUUAUAGUAAAAGUUUUCAUAUACACUGUUACUUAACAGUAAAAUUUUUCAAAAACAUCCCAAAGAACGGCUAAUCCAAACGGAGCAAUAAAAAUUACAGUUCGGUUCACACAGGCAGUCCAAAUUUAUUCUAUUUCAAAAGUUAAAGCUAAAAAAAAAGGGGUUAAAACAGAUACCCACUAGUGCUUAUGUAGCAAACGUGUCUAAUUGGCGAUAAUUCCGGUGGAGCCAUAGAUGGAGAAAAAGGGCAUCUCUAUAUCUUAAAAGAGAUUUGUGGGUAUUCUCAAGCCACUAGGCAAUUCUUCAUUUGCACAUUUACUUACUGAGAAUAAAGAUUCCUGGAGGGAAAAAUGAAGAUUUAUAAUGACUUCCGUUAGCUCUCGUGUUUAUUGGAUGGUUAGACUUCGAUAGUUUGUGCCUCCAUUGGAAGCAAGAGGAGAGAUGAUCAUGAUUACUUGUUUGUGACGUCUACAGAGAUCAGCAGUUCCAUAAAUACGUCACUCCGAAUGUCACUACUGCUUACCCAGUAAUUGCUAUUAGAACGUAGUUUUUUACAAAAAUUUUUACGUUUUUUUAUAAAUAUAUUUUUUAAUUAUUAUUUUAUUUUAUAUAUAUCAAAGUUUUUUAAUAAAUAUUUUUUAUAAAAACAACAUCAAAACUUGUUAAUUACUCUGAAUAAAUAUGUCACUCUGAAUGUUGCUGAUGAGCGUUAACAUUAAAAAUGUUCAACAAACCAAUUUUUCUAUUCACAUGCCCCAUAUGCACCAUAGAAGGGGAUUGCAAUUUUUGGAAAUUUUUUUUUUUGAAAUUUAGGAUAAUAUUCUUCCUAUAAUUUUUUAAUUACUUUUCAACCUCAUGCACGUCACAUUUUCCCAAAGUGUUACCGCGUUAAUCUUCUGAAAAACGCUCAAAAAAAAAUAAUUCUUCAAUUCUUUAUAUCCAUUGGUACACCACAAGUUCAAUUAAUUCUUCAUUUAAUAAGAAGAAGAAAAAAAAAAAGAAAACAAAUAAAAAGAAGAAAUUUCAAGUGACAAAUGUCUUCCAGAACCAGAAGGUGGCAGAAUUCGCAUCUUUUCAAGAUAUAAAGUCAAAAGUGAAAAACUUCGAUAGCACACACAACUAAGCACAACCAACCACGGAAUACCCACAGACCAAAGCCUCCUCAACUUCACCCAAAUCCAAAAAGCUCUUUUCUCCGAAGGCCAAAACUGCCUCAAAAUACAAAAAAAAAAAAAAAAAAAAAAAAAAAAAAAAACCCCAAACCAAGCAACCGAUGUGAUGAUGAUUAGUUUUCACCAAUUUACAUUAUGAAGUUUUCAUUUACAAUUGACCGCUUAUAUACAGUUUGAUCUUACUCCUUUUUCCCAUCUAUUUUCUUUUUCAUCAUCAGACUAAAAUAUCUCAGAACUAGUGCCGUGGUACGUACUAGUAUUUCUUUUCUUUUCUUUUCUUUUCAAGCCCCCUUUGCAACCACCGCUAACCGAUAAGCCUACGAUGAGACGGUGGCAUGGCCUCCCCAUGUGGCAUGUUGUAGACAUGAUGCAGCAGCUACUAAGCAACUGACACAUCAGAAGACGCCCUGGCAGUGGCAGCAGGAGCAGCAGCGGCGUUGCCGGAUCUCGGUUGCCGUAGGAGCCCAAUCAGCAUCUCCGCCUGCCACCAAAUCAACCAUAUGCCCCACAAACGACAAAACAAUAAUGUCACGAUAUUAAAACAACAUGCACAUAAACAUAAUAAUAAUAAUACAUACAGUAAUAAUCAAUGAAGGAAGUUUGUAAAUUGAAUGGCUAAUAAUUCCAUCUGUCAAAUGCUAAUUAUGCUGCUGAAAGAAAUUACUACUACUGCCAUUCACUCACUCUGGGUAUUAUCUUUUCCAAAUCCAACGAACACGAAAAAGAGAACAAUUCGCCGAUUUCCUCCUUGUCAUUUCACAAGACUUGUAUUCUAAUCCACCAUGUUUAAGUCAAUCGCCAAAGUCACAUUUAUUAUUAUUGCAUUCCCCAUAAAGGAAUGGCUUGCUCCCACCAAAUUUUACUCUUCUUAGUAGGGAAAGAUCGUCAUCUUUUUGUUCCUCCACUUCAUUUCUUAGCCUACCUUCCUUCCUAUUCAUUAGACGGCUGCUUAACUUUCAAUACAAGAAAAUCUUCUCCUUAAUCAUGUUUCAUCUUUGAUUAAUUACUACAUUUACUAUCCCUCAAUUAAAGUAUCUUCCCACUAACUUAACUAACGUCAUGAUUAAAGUAAGACUACAUAUUCCACCAAACUACCAAAUUUUUAACUACAUAAAUUAAGCAGCCACGUUUUCCUCCCACUUGUCGCCACCGACCAACCCAAAAAAAAAAGAGAAAAAAAAAAUCUUUUUUUCCUUCAUGGCAAAAAGCAAAUUUUUUUUUUACCCAAAGAAGAACUUUCAUGGCAGGAGUUUGCAAAAUAAUAAUAAUGACGUGGCAGAAACUAGAGGUGAAACAGUUGCAAAAAUUCUUUUUUUCAAAUUACCUUCUGUUUAGCCCGACUAGUUCCGGUCUGAGACAGAGCGACCAGAGGAGGAAUGGCUCCUUCCCGCGCCACCAAAGUCCGGUAACUCAGGCCGUCUUCACACAGCUGCAAUAGUAUAGCCACCGCAAUCUCCUUCUGCCGUUGAGUCCCAACUUCCACAAUCUCCACCAGCACCGGAAUCCCACCUUCGUCCACUAGCGCCGCCCUGGCCUCCGCCACCGAUACCAGCAAGCUCAAAACAAACGCUGACUUGUCCACCAUGUUCGACUGAAAGUCCGCCAUCAAUUCCACCAACGGCUUCAUUAUCCCAGCUUGAACAGCCCUCACCUUGUUAUCUUUCACCGAACACAACGAAUAAAGCGCCGUCGAUGCAUCCUUUUUCCCCCGAAAAUUCCCAUUUUCUAGAAGAUUCACUAGCGGCGGUAUCGCCCCCGACCUCCCGAUAGCGGCUUUAUUCGAAUCAACUUGCGACAGUCUUAGUAAAGCACAAGCGGCGUUUUCUUUGGCCGCGGCGUUUCCCACUUUCAAAGCUCUAAUCAGCGGCUUUAUGGCACCGGCGGCCGCUAUAACUUCCUUAUUUUCGUCGUAGAGCGAGAGGUUAAGAAUUGCAGUGACGCCGUACUCAUGCAGCUGAGAGUCGGUGGAGGAAGAAAUGAUAUCAAUCAAUGGUCUGAUGGCGCCAGCCUCGGCAAUCUUAAUUCGAUUCUCGGGUUUGUUUUUGGCGAGGAGUCUGAGCUCCAAGGCGGCUUGUUUUUGGUCUUCAGGGGAGGGAGAAUUAAGAUCGGAGACGAGCUGGCGGAUCAGUUCGUCAGAGGAGUAGUUGUUGUUUUCGGAGGAGGCGCAAGCGAUAAGUAGACGUCGGCUCUGGGAAGAAGCGGUGGGGAAUUCGCCGGAUCUGUCGCUGUUGCAGUCGCUGAAAGCGGAGGAAGAACCAUCGUGGAUGCUGAGGCCGCUGAAGCUUCGCCCCAUAUAGGUAAAACUAUUGGACUGGACCUCUGUUUCCAUUUCUAGUGCAAAAAAUGGGAUUAGUACAUCAAGAAUUAGGUGGAUGGAGCCUGGAGGGGAGGUGAAGACCGAAAACGACAGCGUUUGAGGUUGUACGGGCCCUUUUGAGGUAGUUACCUGUAUAGGACCUAGCUAUGAGUUGAUCAUAGCCAUUUUCAUGGAGCUAGCCAGCAAGUGGGUGUGGAGUUCGGGGGGAGUGGGGAGUUCAAUAAUAGGCGAAGGCAGGGGAAGAAAAGAAUAUGAAUAAUAUGGUGAGUGGGUUUUGUUUUUGUGGGGUGGGAUUGGGGUGGGGCUGAUGUUGGGGUUUGUUUGGAAGGGGGAUGCUUUCCGGGGGACAGAGGUGGUAUUGGCCUUUUUUUUUUUUUUUUUUUUGACGGUUAGAGGGUGGGAGGGAACACUUGGGAUUCUCGGUGACAUGUUUUCUAUGCCAACUCAAUGCCACCAAUAGUGUUGCGCCAAGUGUCAUGUUAUUAUUUACACUUUAAUUUUCUAAUAAUUCAGCUUGGCUUGGUUUAACACAAGUGUAAAUAAUAACAUGACACUUGGCGCAACACUAUUGGUGGCAUUGGGUUGGCAUAGAAAACAUGUCACCGAGGAUCCCAAGUGGGGAAAGAGGACACGUGCAGAAGCGUAGAGAAGAGCACGUGUGAAGAUUUCCAGAGUCUGUCUUGUUUUCUUUUCACGCGUGCAUGGAAAGAAGGUUCGUUAUUCGAUGGUUGCUUUGGGAAAGUCUCUCCCAACAUCCCAGUCCCAGUUCCCCCCGCCCUCCGUCCCAGGUCUCUCUUGUUUUCUUUAGUUUGCUUUUAGUUUUCUGCCUUCUCUCGUCUCUCAGGUUCAUUAGAUUUUCUUUUUCUUUUCUUUUCCCUGUCGAUUGGAUUGGUAAAGCUGCUCAUCAUUCAACUACUUCAUCAUGGAUAUACAACGUAAAACAUGAAUAAACGUAGGGGGUUUUAGAUGGAUUACUGUGGGAAUUAUUUGAUUAAAAAAAAUUAGAUUGAACAUUUUAGACGUUUAUCUCUCGUCAUUACUCGAUAAUGACUUGGGUUUCAAAUUAAUUGAUUCAUUACUAGAUUGAAAUAAAUCCGUUGUGAUUCGAAACUAAAAAGUGUAAAGGAGACCCUAGUGGGGGUUUAUGAUUCGAAUUCCAACUUUACUUGCGUUUUGAAAUUGAUUAGCGAAUUAAUAUGAAAUUGACUUGAUGACAAAAAUAACACACUACUAACGGUUUAGAUUUCGAUCUAGACUCAAAACUUCGACUCAAUGAGAGUAAAACAAAAAAUACACACAAAAGCAUCAAAUUGUUUAACUUUUAUUCAAUUUUUUCUUGCUUGUACGGGCUAAAAACUUUGUUUGGAUUGCAUUUUUCUGAAUUUUUUUUUAGAAAAAAAUACUGUAGCGAUUUGAUACAUGUGAUAUAAAAAAAUGAUUGAAAAAUAUAUUUACGAGGAACAGAGCAAUUUUUCUUUUGACUAUCCAAACAGGGCCUUAUUAGACGUAGUUCAAGUUCGAAGAAGAAUUCAAACUAGACUUGUACAAAAUAUUAUGGCGUUCAUUUCACUUAGAUUUGUCCGUGGGCAUACUUUUCGCGGUACAGAUUUCAAAUCUCUUGUUUCAACUAUUACAAAUGUCAAAUCCCUUAUUUUAAAUGGCUUAACAAUUCAAGUGAGAAGAAGUAUGAGCUUAUAGAUUUGACAACAAAUUAUUUAAUCCAAAAAGCGACUAUUUUCGAAUAUUCAAUUUAGCCAAGGUAGUGUCAGAUGUACUUAUAAAAUUCUAUAGUAUUUGACGGAGUGGUUGAAGUCUGUUUGAGAUGCAAACUCAACUUUUUAUUCGUUCCAAAAAUUCAAAAGUUGAAUAGGUGAAUUUACACAUUUAAUUUGAACGUGUAAAAUUACAAGUUUAGCUAGAGUUACACAUAGAUGAAUUUACAUAUACCUAAUUCUUCACUCGGGUAAUUAUCUUCAAAAACUAGUUAGUUGUUAAAUUGCCAUCGCAGAGUAGAGGGAAGAAGCUGCAUGCUUUUCUGGGAGGGAUGUUUAAAUUUCUUGCUAGUUUAUGUGCCACGAAAAUUAUCGAAAAACAGUUGGAGUGACCGAUCGAAAACUGGUAUUGCUAAUGCAAAAGUUGACAUCUUGCCCAUAAAACAGUUUACAUCUUCAACUAUUGACUUUUGUCUCGCAAAUUAGGCUGCUCUUUUAAGAACUCAAGAGUCAACUAUUUCUAGAGCAUAUAGAAGAGGGGUACAUAAAUACCACGGUGUCACCUUAAGAAAAAAAAUAGAAAAUAAAAAACCGUGAGUUUCCAACCGGUGGUUGCAAACUCAAAAAAUUGUCCGGCGAUAUUUUGCGAGUCAGGACGAGGGGUAGUUUUCUAUUCCAUCCGUUCCAAUUAUUUAGCCGUGUUUUGGGAAUCCAACUUUUUAAGAAUAGUAAUUUAAUUGUGAUUUUUGUGUUUUUUUUUUUUUCAAUUUUAAUCCCACAAAUUCAAAUUUUAAAUUUGAAUGGUAACAUGUAUAUGAUUAGAAAAAAGGGUUAUAUUGGAAAGAGAGACUAAAACAUAUUUUAACUUUUUCAACAUGACAAAUGUUUUGGGACGUUCCAAAAUAAAAAAGUAUGACAUUUUCAAUGGCACAGAGGAAAUAUUUGGGAUCUCUUGUCACAGUAGUAUCAAUGAAGAUGCACAACUGUAUUAUAUAGCCAACUAUGUGUUUGUUAUAUGAUCCACUUCGUCCUAUUUCAUUUUCAUAUUAGUAUAUACUUACUACUUAAUAGUUAAUCGUUAUACAUUUGAAAACGGUGGUACACUCAAGUUUGUUUUCAUAAAUGCAAUUCCUCAAAUAUUCUUCCUCGAAACUGAAUAAAACGAUACACUAUGAAUUUGAAUGGUUCAAAAACGUUUAAUUGACUACAACAACUCACUUCGUUUCAAUAACGUGUGAUUCUAAUUAAAGAAAUAAAUGACCAUUUAGAGGGGGAAAAAAAAAAAAAAAAGGGGAACGAACAACGCAUUCAACACCAAACAAAUCCACAUCGAAAGCGCUUCCUUCAAAAAAGGCCAAAGUUGCUUUCCUUGUAUGGGUAUAUUUUUCCAUAGGAAGCCAUCUCAAUCUGAUGAUGAUAUCAUUUAAAUUCUCCGUGUGAGGACCUGGUAAGAAGUAAACGGCUGUGGAAGACGAGAAGCAAAAAAAAGGAAACAUUAGCUACCAACAUUGAAAAUUGUUGUACUUGGAAGAUAACCGAAAGUUCAAAACAGCUCCGGUGCAAGUUCUUGAUCAAUUCUUCGUUUUUUCAGCUAUUGACAUCAACAUCUCUGGUAGACUCUUCUGUGUGAUUGAAGAGCCUGACAAGUCUUCGGAAGUUAGAGCUACGGAACGGAUACGCUACAAUGCAUGAGAUCAGUUUGAGGGAGCCACAGCAACUCAACCAACUUGGGAAUAAAACUAGUGGUGCUGCCAUGAUCAUGAUCUGCAUAAUUAUUUUCUGUUUAUUAAAUGUGCAUGGUGCCAUUAAGAUGCUUUUAUUAUGGAACUGUCUAGUCAAACGUCAUUGACAAAAUCACCUCCCACAAACCUUACAAUUUUCUCCAACCUCAUUGAUUGGUUUUGCCCGCAAGUGAAACUUUUAAGCACGGUUUGAGUGAGAUUUUUGUACGGAUGAUACAAAAUUAAAGAAUUUUUCUGGAUUUAGGCACGGUUUGGAAAAUUGCUGUCCAAACAAGGCCUUAGUUAACUUUUAAUUUCUCUAAAAUAUCCUUAUUUAAUGUAUUUUGUGAUAUAUAUAAUCUACUUUAUUUAAUAGAGUUGACUUUCGAUAAAUAAUUGCUUUGGUUCAUGCAUUGAAUGGUGCAAUUUUUCAUCAAUAUUGUUAUAAUAAUUUAUGUAAAGGUAUAAUGAUUAAUCAUCCUCGUAAGGGUAUUUUACCAAAACAGUAUAUUGGAUUUACUCUUUCAACAAAAUUAACUAAUUUUUCUUAAACUGUAUGGGAGUAACAAAACGUGUCUCGAAUGUUGCAAAAUUUUAAUAGAUAAACAACAAGAAAAUUUCUUCAGGUUCUUUUGCUUUUCUUUUUUUUAGGUAUUAUUACUGGUGAGGAAGGAAGUUAUCAAGCAAUCCUGUGAAGGGAUUUUUUUUCCAUUUAGACCACACUACAGCAAAAGCAAUUAAACUUAUGGGGUUAUAAUAACCCAUGCUGCUUUUAAUGGGGUUUUGUUCACACUUGUCAAAUAAAGAUAUCAAAACGUGGGAGCUGAAAAUUGUAGGCAUUGCAUUUUGCUUUUUCCAUUUUUCUUUUUUGGGCUUCUCUUAAUCGGGCUGCUUAAUUUAAUUAUAUUCAUCCUUAAUUUAAUUAUAUUCAUCCUGUUCUAGUGGGCACAAUUCGCAAAAGAUAAGCCACAAGGGAUUUUAAAAUAAGAAAACUUUUUACCGCAAAUAAAUUAUUUGCGGACCUAACAGUGGAAACACACAAUUGAUGGCAUUCGAAGCUUUUGAAUGGACGACUAAAUUCCUUUUGGAUUGAAAAUUUCAAGUGAGCCCAACUACCAUCUCUGAGAAAGGUGGGCAACCGUCAAUUUCCAGAUACCUCAGCCCAUACUUCUAUUUUCUUUCUCAUUUUUUUAGUGCCCUUUUUCUUUUUUAGUUUUGGUCUAGUUCCCUUUUUUUUUUUGGUGGUUGGGGGGUGGUGUUGGUGGGGCGUAGGGGUGCAGAAUGUUAUCUAGAGUUAAAUAUACUUCAAGGCUCUUUUUUUUUUUUUUUUCCAUACUAUUUCUUCUUAAUUUACAUUAAUGGCUUGGACCCUGAAUCAGAAAUCGCAUGCCAAAAUAAUCAAACUAUUUGUUUGGAAUGCACAUAAUUUGUACCUUAUUUACACACAUUGAUUUAUUUGUAUCAUCAAAAUAUUUUUUAAUUUUUUUUAUUUUACAUACAUCACAUUAAAAAAGUGCUAUAAUAUUUUUUUUUUAAAUAAUCAUUUCAAAUAACCUCCUAUACAAACACACUAAAGACUCUCAUGAACCUGGCGGCGUUCAUAUUCCAAUCACAUUCCAUUCGAACAUCCAAUGUGGUGAUACUAUUGUGGGAAUCACAGUAACUCCAUUGAAAAAGCUUCUAAAGACUGAUUAAGUAUUCAUAUAAAAUAUUCAUAUAAAAUAUUUGAAAUGGCUUUUAUGUCGAAAUAGGAAACUCACGAAAGCAAGUGAGCACUGAUUUGCAGCAUUCUUAACCAAAAGAAGGAAGUUUCAUUUGGAAUCACUCCCUUUCGGCUGUAGGAACUAAUUAAAAUAAUGUCACAUUUUGAUGGGAUAUAAGAGACAGCUACACCGCCUAAGUGGACCUCAGACACCUUUACCAUAGUACUAUCUUUGAUCACUCCAAGCAUUUGAUUAGUUGAAAAAUCAGAACCAUAAGAAGAAGAAGAAGAAGAAUACCAUACUUGUUCGUUAAGUAAUGAUCGAAUCAAUUCAAUUGAUAUACAACUGAUAAGGCUAAUCUACUAAUUUGAGAAAGCGGAGUUCGAUAUCUCUUAAAUAAAAUUUUAAAUUCAAAUAUUGUGAUCAGAGAAUAUAAUAUUAAUAGAGUCGUCAAAAAAGAUACCCUAGAAUCGAGCAAAUCUUAUGGUUGGAGAAUAAAAUACUAAAAGCUAGUUUGGGAGAUGAGAUUUGAACGGAAAAGAAAGGAAUAGAAGAGAAAGGCUGCAUCUCCCACAUUUGAGAGUUUUAAGCAUAGUUGUUAAAAUCGCGAUCCGGAUCGUAUUCAGAGUCGCAAAUCAUAUUAAUCUCUGUAGGAUCGCAUAGAAUCGUAGCAGGAUCGGUAAGAUCGUGUAGGAUCGUAGGAUCGUACGAUCCUACAAUUUUUUUUGUAAAUUUGUGAAAUACGAAACUCCAUUUUGCAAGUAAAUGAAAAUAUUUGUGGUAUAUUUGUAAUUUAUCAAAGAAUUGUAACCUUUAAUUGCAAUUAGGAGCUUUUGGUAGGAUCUUACGAUUCUCCGAUCCGAUCCUACGAUCCGAUCCUGUGAAACUAAAAUCGAUCCUACGUAGGAUCCUGAUUUUACAAACCUUGGUUUUAAGUGAAAGGAAAAGGAAAAGAAACAGACGGAUUUGGAAGAAGGAAGAAACAGCUACAGUUUAAAAAAAAUUUCCGCCCCAAGUCGGGCAGAAAGCAAAGGAAAGCAAGGAAAGGCAGCAAAAAGUUUUUUAAAUUGCCCAUUCCACCCCUAAAAGCUUUUGAAUGAAAUAUUUAUUUAUUUAUGUGUCCAAAUUACCGCUUUUUUUUUUAUAAACUCCCCGACAACAUUAAAAUCUCUUCUCUUCUUUUCUCCCAUAACUUAACCUUUCUCUUCUUUUCUUUUCUAUCCUCAACUCACAAACUAGCUAUAAUAGAGUCGUCCGGAAAUAUUCCCUGUUGUGCUCGACUUUGGAUUAAUCGAGACCCAAUGUGAUCACUCAGCAUCCGAGAAUUUACCCAAAAAAAAAAAAAAAUUUAACAUUCAAGCUUUGAUCACAACUUCUUUUAUAUCCCGAUGAGGAUGACCGCAACCUACCCAUCCUAGGCGUAAGUCAGGCCCAGCCCAAUAAAAAAUUCCAACUAUCGUCAAAUCAGCAAAAACACAAGACGACAUCGUCUCAGCAUCCUUCUUGUCCGACAAGAAAUUGCCGGUGGCAGCAACCUCGUAAGACUAUGAUAUCUUUUCGGGAAAGACAACAGAUAAGAAAAGGUUUUUUAAAAAAAAGGGUUGAAACCCAACAACACAACCAGUUUUCCUAUAAUCCAACCCCACAAGAAUCUCUCUUAAUUCUAAUUCACACCACCAGAUUCUUCAGAAUCUUCGAACUCACCUUCGACAAAAGGAAAAAAAAAAAGAACUCUGCGACCAUGAGUAGUAGAGGUCCAGGCCUCUUCUCCGACUUCGGCAAGAAAGCCAGCGGUAAACAAAGAAAAGAGAAAAAAAAACAGUUAAAGUGGUUGGAAUUCACUUUUUUUUUUGGCUCUGAAUUAAUGGAAGUUGAAAAUUUUGCAGAUGUACUGACUAAGGACUAUAGUACUGAGCAGAAAUUCUCCCUCUCUUCCGAGAGUGACGCGGGAGUGGUAUGCACCGCAAUAUUAUUAUUAUUAUUAUUUUGAUGUUUUGAACCGAUAUAUUCUACUUCUAUUUAAUUCUGAUGGGUAUUGAUUUUUUUUUUUUUUUUGCGUGUGUCUUUAAAUUAUGAUACUAGUAUUGAUUGAUAAAGAUGGAAAAGUUUGAGAGGACUGGGAAGUUAAGAAGGUCACAGAAUAAUAUGGGUAGUAGUAAUUAGAUUUCCAAUUAGUUGGCAUGCAAAUAGGCAAUGUAAGUACAGUUUUACAUAUUUAUCAUUGUGUUUAGUUCAUUCUUAUUUUUAUUAGAUUUAUGGACGAAAGUUUGUUGAAGAAAGAUUUUUUAUUUUUGAGAAAGAUAAUUAUACUAGUUAUUUAAGAAGAAUUGCUUUUUGGGGAUGGGAGGGGAAUUUUGGAGGGGGUGGGGGUGGGGAAUUGCAUUUUGGGCUUUUUUUAUUAAUUAAAAUGUCAGCUUCAAUACGUUACUUUUACUUCUUCUAUGGCUGAUUUUGAAGUAGAAACUUUGUGAUAUGCAAUUAGCUAGUCUGUGGAAAGUGGAAACUUUGUUUUUGUGAUGUGCACUUAGCUGGUUGGCAACAGAUUUUGGUGAAAUGGAAACUAGUUUCGAUUUUGGAGGAGUAUUUCUACUUAUACAUAAUAAGAAAAUUGGUAGCAAAAUGUAUGGUCUGACUCAGUUUUAGAUUGUUCCACCAUUGUUCAUUCUUUCUUGCUUUGAGCUGUUCUGCUGAAAUAUUGAUGUUGUUCAUCUAUUUUCAAGUUCAUUCUUUUUACCUUGAGGCAAGGUAAAGGGUGGCUUUUUUUUUUUUUUUUUUCCUUAUUUAGAGUUUAGCGAGUAUUUUGUUCAUCAUCACUGAUCACUCCAGUGUGAACCAAGUUCUACAUGUAUGGUCAUUGAAGUGGUAUCAUUGAAGUUUCACAAUGCCCUGGUACUGGGGUCAUAUUACUGUUUUCUUGUGGAUUAACUGCUACCCUUCAGAAGUCUCAUACGGUAACCUAUUAAAGUCUAUCACCCUAUAUGAAUAUCCAUCGAGUCCUCAAAUUGUCAUGCGAUUUUAUUUUACAUAUAUCAGAGGGGUUUCAAAUGGUAACUCUGUCUUGUUUUCAAUAAUUUGGCCACACUUCUUCCUGAAUAGUCCAAAUUUGUUGCUUGCUUGAACUUUUUAUUUUAAAUUUCCUGUGUCAGAUUGCAAACACUUGUCCAUCAUUUACUCAUUGCUGUUAUGUUGUGUUGCCAGGCCAUUGCGUCCUCUUUAGCUAAGAAGGGUGGAUUUUCUGCUGGUGUUGUUGCUGCACAAUACAAGUACAAGAAGUCUACAGUUGACGUCAAAGUUGACACAGAAUCCAGUGUACAUGUUCUUUAUCUAGUUGCUUUUUCCUUCCCCUGUGCCUCUAUACUUAUUGAAUUACUGAUCUCAUGAUGUUACUUUGGCAGAUUGCAACAAGCAUAACGGUGACUGACAUCUUACCAUCUAUGAAGACUAUUGCCACGUGUAGAUUUCCUGAUUACAAUUCUGGCAAGGUUGUGCUUUGAUUGGACACUCCUGGUCCUGGCUAUUGCAACUUGGUGCAAGUUUUGUGUACACAGUUUUUUCCCUUUUUCUUCUGCAAUUAAGUCGUUCCAUUCUAAUUUGCAGAUAGGGGUUCAAUAUUUCCAUGAGCAUGCAAGUUUCACUACAGCUGUUGAUCUGAACAAGUCUCCAAAUGUUGAUAUUUCCGCAACCAUUGGUACUCCUUUCGUUGCUUUUGGUACAGAAGCAAGUUACAAGGUGGAUUCGCGUUCGUUUACAACGUACAAUGCUGGAGUCAGUCUGACAAAACCAAAUUAUGGUGCUUCUGUAAUGUUGUAAGUUUUCCCCUUCUGGUGGACUCUUUUACAGAAUUAAGAAGUAAAAGAGGAUGGUUUCAUAACAGACUAGCUUUGAGAAUGAGAAACAUAUGUUUUGUAUGGACUGUUGCAAUCAGACCAGUUCUACCCUUCAAUAUGGGCAUUUUUUUAAAAAAAUAUUAUUAUUUAGCAUCUUUUUGGAUGUUGUUAGGUUCUGUGCUGCAGUAGUAAACAAUAAUGUGAUCCAAUUUUUUGUGAAUUAAUGGUGUUUUAUUUUUUGGUAGGGCUGACAAAGGAGAUGCAGUGAAGGCAACUUAUUUUCACCAAUGGGACCAGGAAAAGAGAGGCGUUGCUGUGGCAGAAAUUGCAAGAAAGUUCUCUACGAAUGUCAGUAUUUUGACAGUUGGAGCGUCAUAUGCAAUUGAUCCUCACACACUGGUCAAGGCAAAGCUGAACAACCACGGCAACCUUGAUACCUUGGUGCAGCAUGAGUUGGCACCAAAAUCUUUCCUGAUAUUAUCCGGAUCCUUUGACACCUUAGCCAUGGAUAAACAUCCCCGGUUUGGUUUGGCACUAUCUCUCAAGCCUUGAAAAGUCUAUAGUCUAGAACAUAUGGAUGUGGUCUUCUUCCAAAAUGAAGAAAGUUUUUUAGAUUUGCUGAUUCUUUUUGACUAGGUAAUAGGGUAUUCUUUAUUCUUACUUCUUAAUUACCUGGAGGCUAUAUGGACCAUAGUCCUUGGAACAUAAAUUUUAUCUACACUCAACUUUGAUGUGGUUGCAUCACAUAAAGUGAUCAUCCAUAUUGCUUCUUGGAAAAUGAGUCCAUACAGCUGGCCAAAGGUGUUAAUUUUCUUCUCUGGACCAGAAGCUUAAUCUUCGUUCGGAUGACUCGAUGGUGAAUUAAACUUUGGAUUGGAUUUUUUAUUAGUUAUCCGGAAAGUAGUUUAAAGCACCAUUGCCUUCUCGAGAAGGGGAAGUAUUUUACAUGUUGGCCAUUACCAGACCAUUAAACCACAUGCUUGAAACAUAUUUUUAUGGAAAUUUGAGCUGGAAGACCUAUGCCUAUCAACCAACAGAUUAUUGCGUAAGAGCAGUUAUUAAUAAGUCAAUCUUCAAUUAUUUGGCUAGAAGAAUUCGCCAUAGCAGAGUAGUUCAGUGAUCACAAUCACAUGUACUAUGUAUGCCAUGGUUCAAGGAAAUGUCAUGAUUCUGUAUUAGGAGAAAAUGUCACAAUCGCAUAUACUAUUACUAUAGCAACUGCUUUUGUGCCUUUGCGGCCAUGGACGUUGUAUUGAAAACAACGUUUGACAUGGAAUUUACUUGGAUUACAUGAAACAACAACUGAUAUCCAGGCGUUUAUGGUUUGGUCGAGAAAAAUAAUUUUGAAAGACGAACUCUUUCCAGAAGAAUGUGGCUUAGCAGCUUUCGUUGUAAAGGCAGCAUUUUUCCACUAGGAGAUUUCUUCAGUCCCGCUCACCUCAUUUGACUUCAUUUCAGAGCACGUUGAAAGGGCCUCAGGUCUGAUUAAGGAGGGGAAGUCUAAAGAGGUUGAUUAAGGGGCUAACAGGUGUACAGACUCGAUUAAAUCAAAUGAGUGCUCUAAUAUCUCUUUUGAAUUUUUUUCACUACAGCCUGCAGGUGGGGUUUGAAUCCCUGACCUACAGCCCAAAAGGGAGAUUUAAUCCCUUUUUAGUGGCCACUGAGUUAAAGCUCGGUAGUUGAUCUCAGGUCUGUUAGACCGAGUCGAUUAUGAAUUUUCUGCUGUAUACCAUGUUCUAAAAGUGGCUAGGAGGUUUCAACAAACUCUAUCAGGUUUGUGAGAGUAGAUAAAGUCUAGAUGUUUAUGCUUGAUGGUAAGAGUUGAGAAAGCGUCUGAAAGUUUUGACUACUCAAAUUAACGUUGUUGAUGGAGUAUGCAACGCCAUCCAGACAACCAUCGACUGCAUAUAAAUUAUGCGAAAGGAAGAAAUCAUUGAAUGAAUACAUACAUGGCUAGGACCUUUUCAAUGACUUUAAUGGGGAACUUAGAAGGAUGAUCAAUUAGUACUACUUCAGGCGAAAAAGAUCAAAAAUUAUUUAGUACCACUUGAUCACAUGAAGAGCUAAAAGUCAAUUUUAUUAGAAGAAUAAAAAAAAAAAAGAAUGAAAAGUCUUAGGGUUCUCUUUCUUUCUUUCUGUCUUUUUAUUACGACUGAGUCUUAGGGAUCAAAACUGAAUUCAGACGUUUGUAGAAAUUAAUUGUUCCGGUAUAAGUUGGAACUCUAUUGGCCAGUUUAUUUUUGUUUUUAUUUUUUGUUGACUUUGGAAUUCCAGUAAUCAACUUCACACGUCACAGGUUUAGCUAGUAAAAUGCGUUGAAUGUUCUUUUUUCGAAGGAAUGUGUUGAAUGUUCUAAUUUCCAAUACGUGCUGAACUUUCACCGAUAUGGUGACAUUUUAGAAGCCCUGGUCAGAUUAAAAAAAAAAAAACCAAUCAAAUUUCUUGCAGGUUUGGACCUUAAAAUUCUACUCAGAUAUGGAAUUUCAAAUUGCCCAUCAACAAACAGCAUUUUGUUUCGUUUUGCUUAUUCACUGACACUAACAGCCUUCUUGAAAUAUUACAGACGAUAAAGUCGCUCGUGUGUUAGCUAAAAAUGCAAAAUUCAUAUGUGAUGAUAUCUUUUGGAGGAAAAAUCCUUCAGAUUUUGUUGUGCCAUUUCUAAUGGCGGAUUUAUUAGAAGGUUAGUGAAAUUCCAAUAAUAAUGUUUUUAUCUGUUCGGAAAUUGGUUUAAUUUCUUUUUAGGUAAAAUUCUUGUUUUGUAUGGAAGUAACUAAUUUUCUAAUUAGUUUUAGUUGCUUGAAGUAGUAGUCAAGUAAAGCCCUAUUUAGCUAGAUACUAUUUCCUACUCUAUAUGAGUUUAGGAAAUAGUAUUGGUUUCCAAUUGUUAUUUGAUUUUUUGGCAGUAAUAUUCUCUAUAAAUAGGUAGGUUGGCAUACUACAAAGACACACAAGAAAAGAGUGAGAGAGUUCUUAGUGGGUGAGAGAGUUAUACAAGAGUUGGAGUUUGGGAAUCAAGUUGUAAUCUUGUGGUGUUAUUUCUCUCAUAGUAAGAACAAGUAUUUCUCUCCGUGGACGUAGGUUUAGUGAUUAAACCGAACCAUGUUAAUUCUUGUGCGUUGCUCAUCGUUCGUGCUAGAUAUAGUUUUCUAUUAAAUUGUUGGUCUUUUCCUUUUUCAAAUAAUUGGUCUGAUACCCUAACAAGUGGUAUCAGAGCUCCGUUGGGGUUUUGGUUAAUUAUUUGAAAUUGAGUGGGUGGUUGUAUACCAUAGGGUUUGGAACUAUACAGUUUCCAAUUCAACCGUUUAAUAGAACUACAAGUUUCACUCUUUGGCAAAGAAGAGUGAAUGAUGUUCUAGUUCAACAAGGCUUGGUAAAAGCUUUGAAUGGAAAGAACAAGAAGCCAAAGAGCAUGAAGGAUGAUGAGUUUGAGGAGUUGGACGCAAGGUGUGCGAGCACUAUUCGGCUCUAUGUGGCGGACAACAUCAUAAAUAAUGUGAUAGAUGAGGAAGAUUCUACAGCAGACCUCUGAAAAAAAUUGGAAAAGCUUUAUCUAGCUAAAAGCUUAUCCAAUAAGUUGCAUCUAAAGCGGCAACUUUAUGCACUAAAGAUGGUGGAGGGUGGCAGUCUCAUGGAUCACAUGAAUACAUUCAACGGAAUUUUGGAUCAACUCCAAAAGGUUGGCGUAGAUAUUGAGUAAGAAGAUAAGGCUCUUUUACUUCUUAUCUCAGUCUCUGAUUCUUACGAAAGUGUCGUGACAACCCUGUUGUAUGGGAAUGACACUUUAGAAUUCGAGAAUGUGCAGUCUUCUUUGUUGGAUCAUGAAAAACAAAGGAAGGCAAACCAAGAUGUGACACAAGAAGCUGCGUUAAUUGCUCGAUGUGAGAAUAAAAGAGGAAAAUAAUUUGACGGUGAAUCUAAGGUAGGUGGUUCAAAAGCCAAGAGAAAUGGUGGAAUCCAGUGCUUUGGUUGUCAUGAGUUUGGCCAUAUCAAAAGAUAUUGCCCUCAUCAAAAGAAAAAUGAUGAGAAUGACUAUGAUAAUGUUGUUGGAUAUGCAUCGCGUGGAGAUAUUCUCACAAUCUCCAAAGGUAAUAAUACUUCUUCUCGUGAUGGUUGGAUUUUAGAUUCUGGAUGUGUUUCACAUGUUUGCUCCAGGUUAGAUUAUUUUGAUAUUCUCCACAGAAAGAAGGCAGGUUUUAUGUCCUUGGGUGAUGGAUCUACUUGUCAAGUCAAAUGUGUUGGAGUGGUGAAAAUCAAAAUGUUGAAUGGAGAGAUUCGUUCUUUGGGUGGUGUGGCUUAUGUCCCAAAGUUACGAAGGAAUCUAAUUUCUUUGAACCAGUUAGACUCCGAGGGUUGCCAUUUUUUCGCUGCAGGUGGAGUAUUGAAAAUCACACAUAGUGAGACGAUCUUAUUGAUGGGGAAGAAGUAUGAUAAUUUGUACCAUUUAAAUACCUCAAUGGAUUGGGAGCGGAAGGGGAUCCAGGAAUGCUCUCAAAUUACAAAUGGUGGUGAGAGGAAAAGUCCUGCUAUGCGAGAGGGUGAAUUGAGACCCCUCUCACGAGUCAACUAGAUGUUGGACUCGGUUAGCUACACACGCUCAUUUGUCGAUUGAAUCAGUUGAAAACAAGACCGUCUUAAUUCCAGUGUGUAGCUAGGCACCAAGGUACUUGGUGGGAAAAGACAAAUAGAGUUUUUUUUGGAUGGUUUGUUGUGUUUGCUAAAAGAAAUUUUCGCCAAAGUGGAGAUUUGUUAGGAAAUUGGCUUAAUUUCUUUUUAGGUAGAAUUCUUGUUUUGUGUGGAAGUAACUAGUUUCCUAAUUGGUUUUAGUUAUUUGAAGUAGUAGUCAAGUAAAACCCUAUUUAGUUAGAUACUAUUUCCUACUCUAUAUGAGUUUAUUAUUUAAUUUUUUGGCAGUAAUGUUCUCUAUAAAUAGGUAGGUUGACAUACUACAAAGACACACAAGAAAAGAGUGAGAGAGUUCUUAGUGGGUGAGAGAGUUAUACAAGAGUUGAGGUUUGGGAAUCAAGUUGUAAUCUUAUGGUGUUAUUUCUCUCAUAAUAAGAACAAAUAUUUCUCUCCGUGGACGUAGGCUUAGUGAUUAAGCCGAGCCACGUUAAUUCUUGUGCGUUGCUCAUCGUUCGUGCUAGAUAUAGUUUUCUAUUAAAUUGUUGGUCUUUUCCUUUUUCAAAUAAUUGGUCUGAUACCCUAACAUUAUCCAAAAACAAAAAUUAUAGACAAAAAUUGUGUCCAACAUCAUCAAUACUCAGUGGUAGAAAAUGCAAAAACAAGUAGUAGUAUAUUCAUCCAGGAUACAACCAAAGAAAGAAAUAGAACUGUUGUAGAAUUUCAUAAACAUCGCAGAAUAAAAAUUGAUCACUAGAAUCUCUAACUUUAAUAUUCCAAAGCGGAAUGAUCAUGCAAAUGAGUAUAGCUGUGGAACGAAGGAAAACCACUUGAAACCGCAGCUCCAUUUCUCAGUUAACAGAGGGCAUUUGGGAAUCCAGUGCCAGGUCUUCCUAGAAACCUUGUAAUACAAAACCUCAGGCCAAGUGUAGCAGCAAACGCAGAGAAGUCCCUCGUGCCAAAAGCAAUAAACAUGCUCAUACUUGUGGUAGCAAACUGAUAGAAAUUUUUUCACCAUCAUUUCCGGCAGCCUUUCGACUUCAGCCCAAUUUUCUCCAUCUCCGCUCAACUCCCAUAACUUCAAACUCCUUGAAAUCCCAUCACUCCCAAUCCCCCCAAUCAGGUACAAUUUCAUGUGCUUAAAUUAUGCGAAAGGAAGAAAUCAUUGAAUGAAUACAUACAUGGCUAGGACCUUUUCAAUGACUUUAAUGGGGAACUUAGAAGGAUGAUCAAUUAGUACUACUUCAGGCGAAAAAGAUCAAAAAUUAUUUAGUACCACUUGAUCACAUGAAGAGCUAAAAGUCAAUUUUAUUAGAAGAAUAAAAAAAAAAAAGAAUGAAAAGUCUUAGGGUUCUCUUUCUUUCUUUCUGUCUUUUUAUUACGACUGAGUCUUAGGGAUCAAAACUGAAUUCAGACGUUUGUAGAAAUUAAUUGUUCCGGUAUAAGUUGGAACUCUAUUGGCCAGUUUAUUUUUGUUUUUAUUUUUUGUUGACUUUGGAAUUCCAGUAAUCAACUUCACACGUCACAGGUUUAGCUAGUAAAAUGCGUUGAAUGUUCUUUUUUCGAAGGAAUGUGUUGAAUGUUCUAAUUUCCAAUACGUGCUGAACUUUCACCGAUAUGGUGACAUUUUAGAAGCCCUGGUCAGAUUAAAAAAAAAAAAACCAAUCAAAUUUCUUGCAGGUUUGGACCUUAAAAUUCUACUCAGAUAUGGAAUUUCAAAUUGCCCAUCAACAAACAGCAUUUUGUUUCGUUUUGCUUAUUCACUGACACUAACAGCCUUCUUGAAAUAUUACAGACGAUAAAGUCGCUCGUGUGUUAGCUAAAAAUGCAAAAUUCAUAUGUGAUGAUAUCUUUUGGAGGAAAAAUCCUUCAGAUUUUGUUGUGCCAUUUCUAAUGGCGGAUUUAUUAGAAGGUUAGUGAAAUUCCAAUAAUAAUGUUUUUAUCUGUUCGGAAAUUGGUUUAAUUUCUUUUUAGGUAAAAUUCUUGUUUUGUAUGGAAGUAACUAAUUUUCUAAUUAGUUUUAGUUGCUUGAAGUAGUAGUCAAGUAAAGCCCUAUUUAGCUAGAUACUAUUUCCUACUCUAUAUGAGUUUAGGAAAUAGUAUUGGUUUCCAAUUGUUAUUUGAUUUUUUGGCAGUAAUAUUCUCUAUAAAUAGGUAGGUUGGCAUACUACAAAGACACACAAGAAAAGAGUGAGAGAGUUCUUAGUGGGUGAGAGAGUUAUACAAGAGUUGGAGUUUGGGAAUCAAGUUGUAAUCUUGUGGUGUUAUUUCUCUCAUAGUAAGAACAAGUAUUUCUCUCCGUGGACGUAGGUUUAGUGAUUAAACCGAACCAUGUUAAUUCUUGUGCGUUGCUCAUCGUUCGUGCUAGAUAUAGUUUUCUAUUAAAUUGUUGGUCUUUUCCUUUUUCAAAUAAUUGGUCUGAUACCCUAACAAGUGGUAUCAGAGCUCCGUUGGGGUUUUGGUUAAUUAUUUGAAAUUGAGUGGGUGGUUGUAUACCAUAGGGUUUGGAACUAUACAGUUUCCAAUUCAACCGUUUAAUAGAACUACAAGUUUCACUCUUUGGCAAAGAAGAGUGAAUGAUGUUCUAGUUCAACAAGGCUUGGUAAAAGCUUUGAAUGGAAAGAACAAGAAGCCAAAGAGCAUGAAGGAUGAUGAGUUUGAGGAGUUGGACGCAAGGUGUGCGAGCACUAUUCGGCUCUAUGUGGCGGACAACAUCAUAAAUAAUGUGAUAGAUGAGGAAGAUUCUACAGCAGACCUCUGAAAAAAAUUGGAAAAGCUUUAUCUAGCUAAAAGCUUAUCCAAUAAGUUGCAUCUAAAGCGGCAACUUUAUGCACUAAAGAUGGUGGAGGGUGGCAGUCUCAUGGAUCACAUGAAUACAUUCAACGGAAUUUUGGAUCAACUCCAAAAGGUUGGCGUAGAUAUUGAGUAAGAAGAUAAGGCUCUUUUACUUCUUAUCUCAGUCUCUGAUUCUUACGAAAGUGUCGUGACAACCCUGUUGUAUGGGAAUGACACUUUAGAAUUCGAGAAUGUGCAGUCUUCUUUGUUGGAUCAUGAAAAACAAAGGAAGGCAAACCAAGAUGUGACACAAGAAGCUGCGUUAAUUGCUCGAUGUGAGAAUAAAAGAGGAAAAUAAUUUGACGGUGAAUCUAAGGUAGGUGGUUCAAAAGCCAAGAGAAAUGGUGGAAUCCAGUGCUUUGGUUGUCAUGAGUUUGGCCAUAUCAAAAGAUAUUGCCCUCAUCAAAAGAAAAAUGAUGAGAAUGACUAUGAUAAUGUUGUUGGAUAUGCAUCGCGUGGAGAUAUUCUCACAAUCUCCAAAGGUAAUAAUACUUCUUCUCGUGAUGGUUGGAUUUUAGAUUCUGGAUGUGUUUCACAUGUUUGCUCCAGGUUAGAUUAUUUUGAUAUUCUCCACAGAAAGAAGGCAGGUUUUAUGUCCUUGGGUGAUGGAUCUACUUGUCAAGUCAAAUGUGUUGGAGUGGUGAAAAUCAAAAUGUUGAAUGGAGAGAUUCGUUCUUUGGGUGGUGUGGCUUAUGUCCCAAAGUUACGAAGGAAUCUAAUUUCUUUGAACCAGUUAGACUCCGAGGGUUGCCAUUUUUUCGCUGCAGGUGGAGUAUUGAAAAUCACACAUAGUGAGACGAUCUUAUUGAUGGGGAAGAAGUAUGAUAAUUUGUACCAUUUAAAUACCUCAAUGGAUUGGGAGCGGAAGGGGAUCCAGGAAUGCUCUCAAAUUACAAAUGGUGGUGAGAGGAAAAGUCCUGCUAUGCGAGAGGGUGAAUUGAGACCCCUCUCACGAGUCAACUAGAUGUUGGACUCGGUUAGCUACACACGCUCAUUUGUCGAUUGAAUCAGUUGAAAACAAGACCGUCUUAAUUCCAGUGUGUAGCUAGGCACCAAGGUACUUGGUGGGAAAAGACAAAUAGAGUUUUUUUUGGAUGGUUUGUUGUGUUUGCUAAAAGAAAUUUUCGCCAAAGUGGAGAUUUGUUAGGAAAUUGGCUUAAUUUCUUUUUAGGUAGAAUUCUUGUUUUGUGUGGAAGUAACUAGUUUCCUAAUUGGUUUUAGUUAUUUGAAGUAGUAGUCAAGUAAAACCCUAUUUAGUUAGAUACUAUUUCCUACUCUAUAUGAGUUUAUUAUUUAAUUUUUUGGCAGUAAUGUUCUCUAUAAAUAGGUAGGUUGACAUACUACAAAGACACACAAGAAAAGAGUGAGAGAGUUCUUAGUGGGUGAGAGAGUUAUACAAGAGUUGAGGUUUGGGAAUCAAGUUGUAAUCUUAUGGUGUUAUUUCUCUCAUAAUAAGAACAAAUAUUUCUCUCCGUGGACGUAGGCUUAGUGAUUAAGCCGAGCCACGUUAAUUCUUGUGCGUUGCUCAUCGUUCGUGCUAGAUAUAGUUUUCUAUUAAAUUGUUGGUCUUUUCCUUUUUCAAAUAAUUGGUCUGAUACCCUAACAUUAUCCAAAAACAAAAAUUAUAGACAAAAAUUGUGUCCAACAUCAUCAAUACUCAGUGGUAGAAAAUGCAAAAACAAGUAGUAGUAUAUUCAUCCAGGAUACAACCAAAGAAAGAAAUAGAACUGUUGUAGAAUUUCAUAAACAUCGCAGAAUAAAAAUUGAUCACUAGAAUCUCUAACUUUAAUAUUCCAAAGCGGAAUGAUCAUGCAAAUGAGUAUAGCUGUGGAACGAAGGAAAACCACUUGAAACCGCAGCUCCAUUUCUCAGUUAACAGAGGGCAUUUGGGAAUCCAGUGCCAGGUCUUCCUAGAAACCUUGUAAUACAAAACCUCAGGCCAAGUGUAGCAGCAAACGCAGAGAAGUCCCUCGUGCCAAAAGCAAUAAACAUGCUCAUACUUGUGGUAGCAAACUGAUAGAAAUUUUUUCACCAUCAUUUCCGGCAGCCUUUCGACUUCAGCCCAAUUUUCUCCAUCUCCGCUCAACUCCCAUAACUUCAAACUCCUUGAAAUCCCAUCACUCCCAAUCCCCCCAAUCAGGUACAAUUUCAUGUGCUUAAAUUAUGCGAAAGGAAGAAAUCAUUGAAUGAAUACAUACAUGGCUAGGACCUUUUCAAUGACUUUAAUGGGGAACUUAGAAGGAUGAUCAAUUAGUACUACUUCAGGCGAAAAAGAUCAAAAAUUAUUUAGUACCACUUGAUCACAUGAAGAGCUAAAAGUCAAUUUUAUUAGAAGAAUAAAAAAAAAAAAGAAUGAAAAGUCUUAGGGUUCUCUUUCUUUCUUUCUGUCUUUUUAUUACGACUGAGUCUUAGGGAUCAAAACUGAAUUCAGACGUUUGUAGAAAUUAAUUGUUCCGGUAUAAGUUGGAACUCUAUUGGCCAGUUUAUUUUUGUUUUUAUUUUUUGUUGACUUUGGAAUUCCAGUAAUCAACUUCACACGUCACAGGUUUAGCUAGUAAAAUGCGUUGAAUGUUCUUUUUUCGAAGGAAUGUGUUGAAUGUUCUAAUUUCCAAUACGUGCUGAACUUUCACCGAUAUGGUGACAUUUUAGAAGCCCUGGUCAGAUUAAAAAAAAAAAAACCAAUCAAAUUUCUUGCAGGUUUGGACCUUAAAAUUCUACUCAGAUAUGGAAUUUCAAAUUGCCCAUCAACAAACAGCAUUUUGUUUCGUUUUGCUUAUUCACUGACACUAACAGCCUUCUUGAAAUAUUACAGACGAUAAAGUCGCUCGUGUGUUAGCUAAAAAUGCAAAAUUCAUAUGUGAUGAUAUCUUUUGGAGGAAAAAUCCUUCAGAUUUUGUUGUGCCAUUUCUAAUGGCGGAUUUAUUAGAAGGUUAGUGAAAUUCCAAUAAUAAUGUUUUUAUCUGUUCGGAAAUUGGUUUAAUUUCUUUUUAGGUAAAAUUCUUGUUUUGUAUGGAAGUAACUAAUUUUCUAAUUAGUUUUAGUUGCUUGAAGUAGUAGUCAAGUAAAGCCCUAUUUAGCUAGAUACUAUUUCCUACUCUAUAUGAGUUUAGGAAAUAGUAUUGGUUUCCAAUUGUUAUUUGAUUUUUUGGCAGUAAUAUUCUCUAUAAAUAGGUAGGUUGGCAUACUACAAAGACACACAAGAAAAGAGUGAGAGAGUUCUUAGUGGGUGAGAGAGUUAUACAAGAGUUGGAGUUUGGGAAUCAAGUUGUAAUCUUGUGGUGUUAUUUCUCUCAUAGUAAGAACAAGUAUUUCUCUCCGUGGACGUAGGUUUAGUGAUUAAACCGAACCAUGUUAAUUCUUGUGCGUUGCUCAUCGUUCGUGCUAGAUAUAGUUUUCUAUUAAAUUGUUGGUCUUUUCCUUUUUCAAAUAAUUGGUCUGAUACCCUAACAAGUGGUAUCAGAGCUCCGUUGGGGUUUUGGUUAAUUAUUUGAAAUUGAGUGGGUGGUUGUAUACCAUAGGGUUUGGAACUAUACAGUUUCCAAUUCAACCGUUUAAUAGAACUACAAGUUUCACUCUUUGGCAAAGAAGAGUGAAUGAUGUUCUAGUUCAACAAGGCUUGGUAAAAGCUUUGAAUGGAAAGAACAAGAAGCCAAAGAGCAUGAAGGAUGAUGAGUUUGAGGAGUUGGACGCAAGGUGUGCGAGCACUAUUCGGCUCUAUGUGGCGGACAACAUCAUAAAUAAUGUGAUAGAUGAGGAAGAUUCUACAGCAGACCUCUGAAAAAAAUUGGAAAAGCUUUAUCUAGCUAAAAGCUUAUCCAAUAAGUUGCAUCUAAAGCGGCAACUUUAUGCACUAAAGAUGGUGGAGGGUGGCAGUCUCAUGGAUCACAUGAAUACAUUCAACGGAAUUUUGGAUCAACUCCAAAAGGUUGGCGUAGAUAUUGAGUAAGAAGAUAAGGCUCUUUUACUUCUUAUCUCAGUCUCUGAUUCUUACGAAAGUGUCGUGACAACCCUGUUGUAUGGGAAUGACACUUUAGAAUUCGAGAAUGUGCAGUCUUCUUUGUUGGAUCAUGAAAAACAAAGGAAGGCAAACCAAGAUGUGACACAAGAAGCUGCGUUAAUUGCUCGAUGUGAGAAUAAAAGAGGAAAAUAAUUUGACGGUGAAUCUAAGGUAGGUGGUUCAAAAGCCAAGAGAAAUGGUGGAAUCCAGUGCUUUGGUUGUCAUGAGUUUGGCCAUAUCAAAAGAUAUUGCCCUCAUCAAAAGAAAAAUGAUGAGAAUGACUAUGAUAAUGUUGUUGGAUAUGCAUCGCGUGGAGAUAUUCUCACAAUCUCCAAAGGUAAUAAUACUUCUUCUCGUGAUGGUUGGAUUUUAGAUUCUGGAUGUGUUUCACAUGUUUGCUCCAGGUUAGAUUAUUUUGAUAUUCUCCACAGAAAGAAGGCAGGUUUUAUGUCCUUGGGUGAUGGAUCUACUUGUCAAGUCAAAUGUGUUGGAGUGGUGAAAAUCAAAAUGUUGAAUGGAGAGAUUCGUUCUUUGGGUGGUGUGGCUUAUGUCCCAAAGUUACGAAGGAAUCUAAUUUCUUUGAACCAGUUAGACUCCGAGGGUUGCCAUUUUUUCGCUGCAGGUGGAGUAUUGAAAAUCACACAUAGUGAGACGAUCUUAUUGAUGGGGAAGAAGUAUGAUAAUUUGUACCAUUUAAAUACCUCAAUGGAUUGGGAGCGGAAGGGGAUCCAGGAAUGCUCUCAAAUUACAAAUGGUGGUGAGAGGAAAAGUCCUGCUAUGCGAGAGGGUGAAUUGAGACCCCUCUCACGAGUCAACUAGAUGUUGGACUCGGUUAGCUACACACGCUCAUUUGUCGAUUGAAUCAGUUGAAAACAAGACCGUCUUAAUUCCAGUGUGUAGCUAGGCACCAAGGUACUUGGUGGGAAAAGACAAAUAGAGUUUUUUUUGGAUGGUUUGUUGUGUUUGCUAAAAGAAAUUUUCGCCAAAGUGGAGAUUUGUUAGGAAAUUGGCUUAAUUUCUUUUUAGGUAGAAUUCUUGUUUUGUGUGGAAGUAACUAGUUUCCUAAUUGGUUUUAGUUAUUUGAAGUAGUAGUCAAGUAAAACCCUAUUUAGUUAGAUACUAUUUCCUACUCUAUAUGAGUUUAUUAUUUAAUUUUUUGGCAGUAAUGUUCUCUAUAAAUAGGUAGGUUGACAUACUACAAAGACACACAAGAAAAGAGUGAGAGAGUUCUUAGUGGGUGAGAGAGUUAUACAAGAGUUGAGGUUUGGGAAUCAAGUUGUAAUCUUAUGGUGUUAUUUCUCUCAUAAUAAGAACAAAUAUUUCUCUCCGUGGACGUAGGCUUAGUGAUUAAGCCGAGCCACGUUAAUUCUUGUGCGUUGCUCAUCGUUCGUGCUAGAUAUAGUUUUCUAUUAAAUUGUUGGUCUUUUCCUUUUUCAAAUAAUUGGUCUGAUACCCUAACAUUAUCCAAAAACAAAAAUUAUAGACAAAAAUUGUGUCCAACAUCAUCAAUACUCAGUGGUAGAAAAUGCAAAAACAAGUAGUAGUAUAUUCAUCCAGGAUACAACCAAAGAAAGAAAUAGAACUGUUGUAGAAUUUCAUAAACAUCGCAGAAUAAAAAUUGAUCACUAGAAUCUCUAACUUUAAUAUUCCAAAGCGGAAUGAUCAUGCAAAUGAGUAUAGCUGUGGAACGAAGGAAAACCACUUGAAACCGCAGCUCCAUUUCUCAGUUAACAGAGGGCAUUUGGGAAUCCAGUGCCAGGUCUUCCUAGAAACCUUGUAAUACAAAACCUCAGGCCAAGUGUAGCAGCAAACGCAGAGAAGUCCCUCGUGCCAAAAGCAAUAAACAUGCUCAUACUUGUGGUAGCAAACUGAUAGAAAUUUUUUCACCAUCAUUUCCGGCAGCCUUUCGACUUCAGCCCAAUUUUCUCCAUCUCCGCUCAACUCCCAUAACUUCAAACUCCUUGAAAUCCCAUCACUCCCAAUCCCCCCAAUCAGGUACAAUUUCCUAUUCCCAUCACUGACUAACCUGGCAAAGGCAAGCUGAUUUGGCAAUUGAAUCGGAGAUCUCUCCCAGCUCCCAGUCUCCAGAUCAAAGCAUAAGAUGUGGAAAGGCUCGGUGGUGAUAAAGUACAAUUUCCCUUCAUGGAAUACUCCCCCUUGAUUGUUUAAAAUCAGGUUGAUCCCCUGGAACUGCUGCCAGAGGUGGAUGCCAGAGUCGUAAACAAAAGCAGUAUUUGAUGAUC
rnacentral:lncRNA from 1 species